GCUGGGUGUGGUGGUGCAUGCCUGUAAUCCCAGCGGCUCUGGAGGUGGAGGCAGGAGGAUUGUGAGUUCAAAGCCAGCCUCAG
rnacentral:sRNA from 1 species